ACCCAGGCCAUCUGCCUACAAGAUGCCUCCAUCAGUCAUUGAGAGUCUGGGCGAUAUCUGUCAAAGAAGAGGACCAGCCCAAAUGGCUAACCUCAAACUGGAGAAGAAGGUGGAAAGCUUCUUCAUGCUUGUCCUCCUGCUUGUCUCCAUGGUUAGUGCCAGCACGGGUUCAUCUCCCACCUGCCUCAUGGUGGACUCCGCGAUUGGGGAAGCGUGACGCUGACUUGCCUCUGACCAAUGGAGAUUUCAAGCCCAACACCAUGACAGGCAACGGCCUUGCAUGUGUCUCUCUACCAGCUCCCACAACACAGGAACCGGACGCUCCACCGUAGCUCUCAGAAAGAACCAACCCUACACACACCUUGAUUUCAGACUUCUAGCCUCUGGAAUCAUGAGACAAUAAAUUUAUGUUGGUUAAUUCACCCAGUUCGUGAUAUUUUGCUACAGAACCCUCAGGACAU